rnacentral:sRNA from 1 species
GCCGGGCAUGGUGUUGCAUGCCUAUAGUCCCAGCUACUCGGGAGGCUGAGGCAGGAGAAUUGCUUGAAUCCAGGAGGCAGAGGUUGCGGUGAGCCAAGAUCGCGCCAUUGCACUCCAGCCUGGGUAACAAGAGUGAAACUCCGUCUCAAAAAAUAAAAAGACAGAGUUUCACUUUUGUUGCCCAGGCUGGAGUACAGUGGUGCAAUCUUGGCUCACUGUAACCUCUGCUUCCUGGGUAAGUGUUACGCCUGCCUCA